AAAUUGAAGAGUUUGAUCAUGGCUCAGAUUGAACGCUGGCGGCAGGCCUAACACAUGCAAGUCGAACGGUAACAGGAAGAAGCUUGCUUCUUUGCUGACGAGUGGCGGACGGGUGAGUAAUGUCUGGGAAACUGCCUGAUGGAGGGGGAUAACUACUGGAAACGGUAGCUAAUACCGCAUAACGUCGCAAGACCAAAGAGGGGGGACCUUCGGGCCUCUUGCCAUCGGAUGUGCCCAGAUGGGAUUAGCUAGUAGGUGGGGUAACGGCUCACCUAGGCGACGAUCCCUAGCUGGUCUGAGAGGAUGACCAGCCACACUGGAACUGAGACACGGUCCAGACUCCUACGGGAGGCAGCAGUGGGGAAUAUUGCACAAUGGGCGCAAGCCUGAUGCAGCCAUGCCGCGUGUAUGAAGAAGGCCUUCGGGUUGUAAAGUACUUUCAGCGGGGAGGAAGGGAGUAAAGUUAAUACCUUUACUCAUUGACGUUACCCGCAGAAGAAGCACCGGCUAACUCCGUGCCAGCAGCCGCGGUAAUACGGAGGGUGCAAGCGUUAAUCGGAAUUACUGGGCGUAAAGCGCACGCAGGCGGUUUGUUAAGUCAGAUGUGAAAUCCCCGGGCUCAACCUGGGAACUGCAUCUGAUACUGGCAAGCUUGAGUCUCGUAGAGGGGGGUAGAAUUCGAGGUGUAGCGGUGAAAUGCGUAGAGAUCUGGAGGAAUACCGGUGGCGAAGGCGGCCCCCUGGACGAAGACUGACGCUCAGGUGCGAAAGCGUGGGGAGCAAACAGGAUUAGAUACCCUGGUAGUCCACGCCGUAAACGAUGUCGACUUGGAGGUUGUGCCCUUGAGGCGUGGCUUCCGGAGCUAACGCGUUAAGUCGACCGCCUGGGGAGUACGGCCGCAAGGUUAAAACUCAAAUGAAUUGACGGGGCCCGCACAAGCGGUGGAGCAUGUGGUUUAAUUCGAUGCAACGCGAAGAACCUUACCUGGUCUUGACAUCCACAGAACUUUCCAGAGAUGGAUUGGUGCCUUCGGGAACUGUGAGACAGGUGCUGCAUGGCUGUCGUCAGCUCGUGUUGUGAAAUGUUGGGUUAAGUCCCGCAACGAGCGCAACCCUUAUCCUUUGUUGCCAGCGGUCCGGCCGGGAACUCAAAGGAGACUGCCAGUGAUAAACUGGAGGAAGGUGGGGAUGACGUCAAGUCAUCAUGGCCCUUACGACCAGGGCUACACACGUGCUACAAUGGCGCAUACAAAGAGAAGCGACCUCGCGAGAGCAAGCGGACCUCAUAAAGUGCGUCGUAGUCCGGAUUGGAGUCUGCAACUCGACUCCAUGAAGUCGGAAUCGCUAGUAAUCGUGGAUCAGAAUGCCACGGUGAAUACGUUCCCGGGCCUUGUACACACCGCCCGUCACACCAUGGGAGUGGGUUGCAAAAGAAGUAGGUAGCUUAACCUUCUGGGAGGGCGCUUACCACUUUGUGAUUCAUGACUGGGGUGAAGUCGUAACAAGGUAACCGUAGGGGAACCUGCGGUUGGAUCACCUCCUUACCUUAAAGAAGC
rnacentral:rRNA from 1 species